rnacentral:lncRNA from 1 species
CUGGCCUCUUAUGACAGCACUUUCCACAAAAUCGCCUUGCAUUCCACAGAAAGUAUUUCUUAUGCAUCAGAAAGAUAUUUGACACUCUUCAUCUCACUAACUGUCCCCUUGCUGUUGGACAGGUAUCAUUUUUGUUUGAGCCAGUUCACCAAAACCCCCUUGGUUACGAGUUUGAUGAGGAGGAGUAAUAGUGAUGAGACAAGCGAGCAAAAAAGGGAAACAAGUUGGCAGCAAAAAGAAGGGAGAAAAUUGACCACAAGCUUGUCUCCUGCAGAAGUGGUUUCCUCAUCUCAUAAUUCUUCCAGCAGAGGACAAUCCCUUUUUCAUCCUAGUCAGAGCUACGUUAACCAGUGAGGAAACUGUGUCCAAAACUGAUUAAAGGAAAAAAAAAAAAAAAGACAAGAAAAAAAAAAGGAAGAAGUAAAAGAAAAGUUCUGAAAUGAUUGGGAAACAGCCUUGCACAUAAUACAAUGAGAAAAUUAGUUAGAAGUGUUGUAGAUUUUUCAUCUUGAUAUGGGCAACUUUUUGUUUCCCAUAACCUGAGUACCAAGACAGAUAUCUGAAGAGCUAGAAAUGAAUUUUAUCACUGGUUAAUCUGGUCCACCUAUGUAAAACAGCGAUUGAAAGCUAUUUCUAUUUUCAAAUUAUGGUAAAAAAAAAGAAAAGUGUUACAGGAAGAAUUUUUUUAGACUCUUUUCUAUGCCGUACCAUUCAUGUCAAUGGACAUAAUUACAAAAUGAGGCCUGUGAACUGUACCUUACCAGUCACUAUUCUGCACUGGAGUUUGUCUAAGAAUGAUACAAAAUAAAAUACUCAUCCAAAACA